GAUGAACGCUAGCUACAGGCUUAACACAUGCAAGUCGCGGGGCAGCAUGGGGGUUGCUUGCACCUCCCGAUGGCGACCGGCGCACGGGUGAGUAACGCGUAUCCAACCUGCCCUUCACCACGGGAUAACCCGGCGAAAGUCGGACUAAUACCGUAUGUUGUCCAUUGACGGCAUCCGAUUUGGACGAAAGGCUUUGCGGUGAAGGAUGGGGAUGCGUCCGAUUAGCCAGACGGCGGGGUAACGGCCCACCGUGGCUACGAUCGGUAGGGGUUCUGAGAGGAAGGUCCCCCACACUGGAACUGAGACACGGUCCAGACUCCUACGGGAGGCAGCAGUGAGGAAUAUUGGUCAAUGGGCGUAAGCCUGAACCAGCCAAGUAGCGUGCAGGAUGACGGCCCUAUGGGUUGUAAACUGCUUUUAUGCGGGGAUAAAGUGGCCCACGGGUGGGCUUUUGCAGGUACCGCAUGAAUAAGGACCGGCUAAUUCCGUG
rnacentral:rRNA from 1 species